rnacentral:rRNA from 1 species
AGCAGCCGCGGUAAUUCCAGCUCCAAUAGCGUAUAUUAAAGUUGCUGCAGUUAAAAAGCUCGUAGUUGAAUUUCGGGGUCAGUGAGUUGGUCGUGCCACUGGUAUGCACUGGCUUUACUGAUUCCUCCUUCUUGAAGAACUGUAAUGCUAUUAAUUUAGUGUUGCAGGGAAACAGGACUGUUACUUUGAAAAAUUAGAGUGUUUAAAGCAGGCUAACGCUUGAAUACAUUAGCAUGGAAUAAUGAAAUAGGACGUUUGAUCCUAUUUUGUUGGUUUCUAGGAUUGACGUAAUGAUUAAUAGGGAUAGUUGGGGGCAUUAGUAUUCAAUUGUCAGAGGUGAAAUUCUUGGAUUUAUUGAAGACUGACUACUGCGAAAGCAUUUGCCA